UACGUAGGGGGCAAGCGUUGUCCGGAUUUAUUGGGCGUAAAGCGCUCGCAGGUGGUUCGUUGCGUCGUGCGUGAAAGACCCCGGCUCAACUGGGGGAUGUCGUGCGAUACGGGCGGACUGGAGGCCAGUAGGGGGAUGCGGAAUUCCGGGUGUAGUGGUGGAAUGCGUAGAGAUCCGGAGGAACACCAGCGGCGAAGGCGGCAUCCUGGACUGGUCUGACACUCAGGAGCGAAAGCGUGGGGAGCGAGUCCGG
rnacentral:rRNA from 1 species